rnacentral:lncRNA from 1 species
UGUCCUAAGAUCUGGAGACAUUGAUGCCAGCCCUCCCACUACUUCUAACCUUUGUUUAUAUGGUGGAUUACAUUGAUGGAUUUUCGUAUAUUGAACCAUCCCUGCAUCCCUGAGACAAAGCCUAUUUGAUUGUGAUGGAUGAUGUUUUUGAUGUGUUCCUGGAUUCUGUUUGUUCGGCAUCAUGGUGCCCCAAGAUAUCUGCUAGACAUCUUGGCGGAAACACAUACCAACUCCUCGGCGGCCCAGUGUCUCCAGCCGCCGCACACUUUCCUACACUCAAACCGUCACAUAAAAGAACACACAACACAAUAAUCUUAGAUCCAACUGGCAAAUGGAUGGAGCUAGAAAAGAUCAUCCUGAGUGAGACAGAAGCCUAGCAUAACUGUCAUCAGAGAGGAUUCACCCAGCAACUGAUGGAAACCAAUGCAGAGACCCACAGCCAAACAUUAGGCAGAGCUUGGGGAAGAGGGUGGUGGGGAGGACUCCAGGAGCCAGAGGGCCAAAAACACCACAAGGAAACCUACAGGAUCAACUAACCUGGUCCCACAGAGGCUCCCAGAGACUGAACCACCAACUGGGGAGCAUGCAUGGGACUGACUAAGGCCCUCUACACCUAUGUAACAGUUGUGCAGCUUGGGCUUCAUGUGGAACUCCUAACAGGGGAAGCAGAGGCUGUCUAUGACUCCUUCGGCUACCUGUAAAGUAAAAUAAAUUAAUAAAAGAUUGUUUGAGAACUUC